rnacentral:lncRNA from 1 species
GAUAGGAAUGUUCUAGUGUCACUUUCUUAGUUGAUGCUGUUUGGUGAAAUGGUUAUCUGUGUUUUAUUCAAAAGGCUGGUGAUAUUGAUGUACUUAGUGAAGUAUCUUUUAUUUUUAUUUUUCUUUAGGAAAAAUAUCUAGGAAAACAUGAUAUGAAAAUUAUAUUCACUUCAUUGUAGUGUAGCAUUUUCAUGUAUGGCAGUGCCUGUGUGAAGGAGUUGUAGAAAUGCCCUGUCCAUUAAAAAAAGAAAAAAAGGUUUUGUGUGCACACAAGAAAGCUGUUUGGUUAAAUUUAUGGGUGUAAAGGAUGUGUGUGUGUGUGUGUGUGUGUGUGCUCUCUCUCUCUCUCUCUCUCUCUCUCUCUCUCUCUCUCUCUCUCUCUCUCUCUCUCUCUCUCUGUUCGCUUGUAUGCCUGGACUAGGAUGCCUGACUCUUCCUUGAUGACAGCUGUUAUUCUCGACCUCAGGGUUUUGGUGGAAUGAAACAUGUUGCCAAAGUAACGGUUAAGUUUCUUGGUCUCCCACAUUUUUCAAAGUACAUAGGAUACUGUGCUUAAUCACAUCUUGUCACAUUUUGUCACAAAUCAUUUAAUACCUGUACAGUGGGAAUGAUAACCCAUUUUAUGGACAUAUCAAUUUAGACAUAUCCAUGGUACAUGUAGUACCUGGUUUAUCCUGUAUAAAAUUAACUAAAUUGUGAGUUGUCUUUAUUUUAAAGAGGCCUGACAAAAGUGUGUGUAUAGCUGGUGCUCAAUGCUGAAUCAAACUGGUCAAACUGAAGCACAAUACACUCCUUAUUGUUUCUGCUGCACUAAUUGCCAGGGGUGGGAGAGGAGGAGCAGCAACUAAUCCAUGGUAGGCAGAUGUGGGCAGGAGGUGCUGUAUGUAGUGAGUGGGCAAAGAGGAGCUCAACAUUACUUGAAGUUUGCUAUCCCCUGGAGAGAUACUGGCCAGCACUGGGACAGUCUCAGAACCAGGGUAAAAUUAAUUUAUAUCUCUUUAAAGGUUCUAUUAUUACAAAGUUUUGAGCCAAAUAUAUCUAUAUAACCUAUGUUAUAUUGGUAUGUAUAAAAUUUUGACUUGUAGAAGUUGUAUAUAUAGGGAUAUACAUAUAUAUGUAUGUGUGCAUGUAUAUAUAUGGAUAUAUAUAUAGAUAUAGAUAUUCCUGAAUCAUACACGAAUGGGAAACUGCAAAUGACUGUACACAACAUACAAUAAAAAACUGGACAAGUGCAUGUGCUGCAUCUUCUCAAGCCAACAAUAAGAUGGCAGUGUAGCUGCCCCAGGCACAGAGAAAUGAAUACUAAAGUACAGAGCGGAGUUAAGUGUCUACUCCUCCUUUAAGCACUGCAUAGAAAAUUACAGAACCUCACGAUCAAGACUUGUAGUAAUUAACAGAUCACUGUUUAUAAGAAGGAAAUCGGUGAACUUUUGUUGUGUUCCCCAGCUGAUCUGAGCAUCCAAAACAUUACCAUGCUAAUCUUUAAGAAACAUUCAUAUGGCUUUUAGGUAGUUUUCUAAAUGUAAGAAUUCUUGGGAAAGGAGUGAGGAUGUAUCUCAGUUGGUGAAGUUACUAGCUUAGAGUGCACUCCUGGCACCAUUAAAUUAAAAAAGAACCAAAUCUUGGCCUUAUCUACUUUGUGAAAAGGACUGAUGUUAUAGGUACACCAUUAAAGUUUCCUUUUGACAUCUAAAUUUUACAGCUCUUUAUCCUUUAAGAUAACCAGUUUUUCUUGUUAUAUUUGGAAGUUCCUUUGUCUUCUAACUGCUUACUGGAAGGGGAUAUCCUUUUCAUAUACCUCCAAAGGUACAUAUACUGGUACCCCUGUACUUUUGAUGGCUUAGCUCACAUUAAAAGUCUGAUUAGAUUUUUCACCAAAUCUUCUCUUCAAAGAUCACAUUCUCAUAGUAGUCAUAAUCUGAAAAUAGAUUUUUUUUCCUUGUCCUCAAAGAUAUCUCUUUAAGCCCACCACUACUAGAAUUACACCUAGGGCACUAAGAAUCGCACAUAUGAAUUAUUGCAUAGUGUGCAAGGUCUAGGAAUAUGAUUUCUAUCUUCAGGCACUACCUUCGAUACCCUGCCUUCUCAAAAAAGGUGGCCACUAGAAGGUGACUCAUCAGGUAAAAUGCUUUCCCUGCAACCCUUACAGCCUAGAUUUGAUCUCUGUGACCCAUAGAAGGAGGAAAGAACCAGAGCUGUGUUCAGCAUGUGAGCCAUGGCAUGUGAAGCUCAUACAUACCACAAACAAUAAAAGACUUUUUAAAUC